AAUGAGUUCGUGCAGUGGUUUCAGGAGUCAAGUAGAUGCGUAUGUUACAGCUGAUGAGAUCCUACUAAGUUUAAAUCUAUUGCAAAGACACUUAUAACUAUUGCAAUUACGAUUACCAUUCCCACUACAGAAUUUCUUGAACAAAUUAUGUCCAGCUUCCGCUACAGAGUCAAGUAUAUAUUUGUUAUAGGGAUAAGUAUUUUUUCAAUAGCAUUACAAGAAUUGGAUAUUUUCUGCUAAAAGGAAUCUAAAACGGAAACUAAUUAUGAGGAAAAUAAUGUGAAAAGAGGAAAAACACGGAUAUUUUUACGAUAAGCUUCCCUGAGUGGAUUUGUACUCCGGUAUUAUCCGUGCGCGAUUAUGUACGUAUCGCUUAUUCGAGCGGUAAUUAAAACUUCUUUUAUAUAUAUAUAUAUAUAUAUAUAUAUAUAUAUAUAUAUAUAUAUAUAUAUAUAU